GAUCAGGCUGACUGGGGACUGGGUACACAUAAGGUCCCCCACCAGCAGAGCCCAGCAUGGAUACCUGGAGCCAGGAGCAGGCAAGACUUGGAUUCACCCAAUUCAUAUGCUUAAUGCAACACUUCCCAGUGCACACAGGAACAGUGUCCUGGCUUUCCUGCACCCAUCAGAGGUUCCCACACAGCCAAGAUGUCCUCUGGAAGUCCCACCCAGAUGCUGACCUGAUGACUGCUCUCAGAGGCCAGAGACCUGCAAUCAUCCUUCAUACAGAGAGCCUUGAGAGAUGCUGCUAAUGAAGACAAAUGAAGGAAAAGGAACUUG
rnacentral:lncRNA from 1 species